rnacentral:lncRNA from 1 species
AGAGUAUCAGAGACGUAACAUCCUUAACUGUUUGUGGUGAUAAAAGUGAAGUUUGUUUUUUAAUACUUACCACGAAUCACUUGAUUAUUUUUUUCGUGCUUGCUCAUCUUCAUCAUUAUUUUCAAAAAUCAAUUCAUGUUUCAUUUUGCAAAAAUGUUAGGCUAAAAUUUGUCCAAAUUUGAGGAACGGUUACAGGUGCUAUUUGUUUUAAAGUUUUUUUUUUUAAAAAAAAUAAUAAUUCAAGCGUGCGUCCAUCCACAAACAGAAAAAAGGCGAGAAAAGUUUUUGCAAACAUUUCUACGUCCGGAGGUGCAAAUUAGUGAUACUCAGUGAAAGUUUGGAGAGGAUACUCACAUUUCACGUUAAAAAAGAAUGGGCGUGCUUUUCCCUACUGACUCAGUUGACGUCAACGGUAAUUGCUUGACCCCUGAGCGAGCUCCCGCUGCGAAACCACCUUUCACGCUUGCCGAUCUCCGGAAGGCUGUGCCGCCACACUGUUUUGAACGGAACCUCUUACGCUCUUUCAAAUACGUCUUUUAUGAUCUCUCUGCUCUCUUUGCUAUUGCGUACGCAGCCAGUUUCAUCCCCUUGCUACCCCUCCGGUUGCAGUAUGUCCUCUGGCCUACCUACUGGCUCGUUGCCGGCACGCUCAUGCUCGGUGUUUGGAUCUUAGGUCAUGAAUGCGGUCACCACGCAUUCAGUGACUACCGAUGGGUCGACGACCUGGUGGGGUUCGUGCUUCAUUCCUGCAUGCUGACUCCAUACUUCUCGUGGAAGCUCUCCCACGCCCGCCACCACGCCAACUCGGCCUCCAUGGAGCGCAACGAAGUCUACGUAGCCCGCAAGCGGGAGUCCGUGCCCUGGUUCGUCAGGUACUUUAACAAUGCCCCCGGACGCAUCUUCAACCUCACCGUCUCCCUCCUUGUUGGCUGGCCACUCUACCUCACCUCAACGUCUCCGGACGGAAUUACGAUAAAUUCGCCAACCACUUCUACCCCUCGAGCCCGAUCUACCCGGAAUCCAAGCGCUUCCUGAUCUUCUUGUCCGACGUGGGGGUGGCGGCCGCCUCCUACGGGCUCUGCCAGCUGGCCCUGACGCACGGACUCCCUUGGCUCCUCGGCAUGUACGCCGCCCCCCUCCUCGUCUGCAACGCCUGGCUCGUCACCGUCACGUACCUCAACCACACGCACCCCGCCCUCCCCCACUACGACUCCUCCGAAUGGGACUGGCUACGCGGUGCCCUCUCCACCGUCGACCGGGACUUCGGCUUCCUGAACCACGUCUUCCACCACGUCACCGACUCCCACAUCGCCCACCACCUCUUCCCGCAGAUGUCCCACUACCACACCGUCGAGGCCACCAAGGCUCUGAGGCCGAUUCUCGGCGAGUACUUUGUCUUCGAUGGCACGCCCAUCUGGGAAUCCCUGUACAGGGAGACUAAGAAGUGCGUCUGUGUUGAGCCUGAUGAGCGUAGCAAGGGCGUUUGGUGGUUCAGUGAUAAAUUGGAGUAAUCCCUUGCUCUCCACGAGUUUUCAGAUAGGUAGAAACGAAUUUUUAAAUAUUCAUGGACGCUGAAUUUAGGAUUUUGCUAAUUUGUAUAAAUUUAGGGAUUUUAAAAUAAUUGACUUCCAGUGAAUUUAAGAUGUACUUAAUGUUAUAAAGCUAUGGCUCACUCAGCUUCGGAGAAAGUUUGGAACUUUUUGUUGAGAUUAGAUUUUGGGUGACUUUAAAAGUUAAGGGAUUUACGAUGUACAAACGAGCUUUUUCCCUCUGUAUUGAGAUUUUCAGCUUCAUGCUGAAUUUUUAACGCACGUUGGCAAAUACUCGAACACACUGAUAUAGGAUAGUUUAGAUAUUCUGAAGAUUUUGAUCAUUCUUUACUUUCAUAGUUAUCACUCAUAGAUACGGGCAAAAAGUUUGAAGGCUGUUGUUGUGAUGUUGUCAAAAAAUUGUGUAAAGAUUAAUUGGUUCCUUUAAAAAUGUGUUUAUGUGUAUUUGAAAUAAGGAAAACUGUGAUAAAUUGAUGAAAUGAUACUUCUAUAAUCCUAAAUAGGAUAAUGAGGUCAUUCAGGUCAUCUGGCUGUGUUUUAUGCGUAUAUUACUUGUUAACCAGUAUUCCAUGUGUAAGACUAUUCUUUAGGUUUAAAAAUUAAAUAAAACAUUAUUUAU